rnacentral:lncRNA from 1 species
UCAAAUAGAUCAAAGUAAUGGCUACUAGAGCAACCUCGGCACAAUCUAAUGCAUAAUAAUACUAUCCAAUACCGUCGUCCAAACCCACGGCUAAAUAUUCAAUAAUAACCCAGCCCAACCCUGAACUCGCCCCAAAUCCCGGCUAUCAAAUUAGCCCAUACUACCACUACUACCUGCAGUUCAACAAUCCCGAACACUAAGCUCUUAAUAUGGUAAAAAGCACACUAGCACUAGGUUCAUGCUCAUAUAGGAACAGGGCUUUUUUUGCAAAUAGCCCCCUAAUAAAUUUUAUUUGCAAAAAUAGCCCUGUCCAAAAUUUAUUUGCAAAAAUGGCCCUGACCCUGCCACGCCAGCGCCACGUCAGCGCCACGCGGGCAGAGUCUGGGCCAGGUAUUCAAGUUGAACACGGUGAUUCGUUUACCGUGUCUAAACACGGUGAACCAAUCACCGUGUUCAAUAGGAAUGCGGCGGUCGGUAUUUCUAUUGAACACGGUGAACCAAUCAUCGUGUCUAGACACGGUAAUUAGUUCACCGUGUUCGAUAGAAAUAUCGAUUGGACACGGUGAACUAUUCACCGUGUCUAGA